CCCUUCUCUUUUUAAUAUGUAUCCUCAAGGACACCCUAGGCGCUAUACUUACCUUCCUGCGUUUUCAAUUUUCUACCAGACAAGAGAUUUCGUGAUUGGCCUGCUUUCUGAACGCUUGCUGAAUUCCUUUCUGUUUCUGUUCUUUUAAAUAUGUCAGUUUGCUACACACCUGAAAACAUAUUAUUCUGUAAUGUCUUCAGCUGGUCUCAAUCUAUACAGUAUAACAGCUGCCAAACGAC